rnacentral:rRNA from 1 species
AUUGAACGCUGGCGGCAGGCCUAACACAUGCAAGUCGAACGAGUGGCGGACGGGUGAGUAAUGUCUGGGAAACUGCCCGAUGGCGGGGGAUAACUACUGGAAACGGUAGCUAAUACCGCAUACCAUCGGAUGUGCCCAGAUGGGAUUAGCUAGUAGGUGGGGUAAAGGCUCACCUAGGCGACGAUCCCUAGCUGCGCUGAGAGGAUGACCAGACACACUGGAACUGAGACACGGUCCAGAGUCCUACGGGAGGUAGCGGUGGGGAAUAUUGCACAAUGGGGGAAAGCCUGAUGCAGCAAUGCCGCGUGUAUGAAGAAGGCCUGCGGGUUGUAAAGUACUGUCAGCGGGGAGGCGUAACCAGCAGACGAAGCACCGGCUAACUCCGUGCCAGCAGCCGCGGUAGUAC